CCACAACUUGGUGUCUGCAGUCUCACAGUAUAAUUGAAACGGGUUAAAUUCAUGUCACUCCUCCCCUAAAACCUACAACUCACCUCUCAUUUGUUAGCUAACUUCAGAACAGAAAAGACUGAACCAGAGAACAGUAAUACAUACAUUGCUGCAGACUCCAAGGCAGAAAGAAAAUUACAAUCAAAAUCCAAUAAUCUACUCUCAAAUGGAUCGCAGCCAGCCUUUCAGUCACACACGUCCAUAUCCAGGACAGUCUGGGGUCACUGUACAGCCUCCAGUUUUUGUGACCACUGUUCCACUGGCCAGACCAGUGCCAGAUCACUUGGGCUACUCCAUCUUCACCUUUCUGUGCUGCUGUUUUCCUCUGGGCAUUGCUGCAAUAGUUUUCUCCUGCUUUACUCGAGAUGCCAUCUACUCAGGACAGCAAGAAUUAGCAAAGAAGCAUUCCAAAACAGCGCUCAUGCUGAAUCAUAUCGGCCUUGGGAUUGGCUUGGUUAUUAUUGUAUUGAUUAUUAUCAACCACAUGAUGAAAUGAAGAUAAAAGCUUUUAGAGCUGAAAUGGCUGGAAGCAUCUUAAAAACAGAUUUGUUUUUCUUUAUUUUAAAUGUUACUUGUUCAAUUUAUAAUUAUUCUUAUGCUUUUAGGCUGAUUAUUCUAUGUUUAAACCAAGGCUACCAUGCAGUUUUCUGUUCUCUUUACUUCUAAAAUGUUUUGUUUAGACUUUUGGCUCAUUUUAAAUAUAUUGUGUGCAGCUGUGCUUGUUUGAUUCAGUGAUCAACCAACCAACCAAGUUUUAGUCAAAUACAGUACUCAAAUCAGAAAGUGCAUUAUGGGAACACCAGUAUCAGAAAAGAUUUUACUCAAUAUAAAAUUGCUUUUUUUAUUGCCUGAACUAACUUUUUCAUGUAGAAAUUAAACUUGUUUUUCUGUAGUA